rnacentral:rRNA from 1 species
UACGGAGGGUGCAAACGUUGCUCGGAAUCAUUGGGCGUAAAGCGCACGUAGGCGGUUCUGCAAGUCGGGUGUGAAAUCCCUCGGCUUAACCAAGGAAGUGCAUUCGAAACUGCAGAACUUGAGUACUGGAGAGGGUCGCGGAAUUCUCGGUGUAGAGGUGAAAUUCGUAGAUAUCGGGAGGAACACCGGUGGCGAAGGCGGGUCUCUGGGCCGAUACUGACGCUGAGGAGCGAAAGCGUGGGGAGCGAACAGG